rnacentral:tRNA from 1 species
AAAUAAAAAGCAAUUCACAUGCAUUUAAUUUCGACUUAAAAAAAAAGUAAACACUCCUUAUUUA